GUGGAGCUGGAGGGUGCGAUCUGGUUGGGGCAUGGUAAUUUCAUUAACCUGGCUGCAACAAUUAAGCAAUCAGCACGCGUAUAUAGGACCCGGUUGUGGUUGCGUGUGUGACUGAUUUGCAAGCGUGACGUGACUCUCCGUGCGCUAGUAUCUCCUUUUCCGGAAGUUGUGGCUAUAUCCAACGCUGCAGUGGAUCGCGACUUGGAGUGUCCCGGACCGACGUGAGCCAGACCAUCAACGGGAUACUAAGUCACUACAAGUGCUGCUGUUUUGCCCGGAUGUUUUAUGUUUUGUUUCAUGUUUUAAUGGGUUUUAAGUAUUAAUGUUUUAUUGAUUGGAUGUACAUUGGGGGGGUGUCGUUGGGAAGGCUUGGUGCUGGGCGGUGAGGAUCCGUGUCGGGCGAUACCGCGCUGCGUGGUCGCGUUGCUUUCUUGUAGCCCACCCCUUGGGUGGAUGUACGUGCGUCAUGUACUGCGGGACCCCUUAGAGUGUUGUCUGACUGUAUGCCUCCCAUUCCCCUCCCGAUAACAGCUGCUUGGUUUGUGUUUUCUCUUGUGUUGUGUGAUUGGAGUGUUUUAAACAUGAUUUGAUGUGUAUUAUUUGUGCUGUGAUUUUGGUUUUGUAAUUUGCUGUUUGGUUUCUUUGUGUUUUUAUUUUGAGUGUGAAUAGCCAGCAGCCUAAUAAAGGGAGUGUUUAUGGUC